rnacentral:rRNA from 1 species
GAUGAACGCUGGCGGCGUGCCUAAUACAUGCAAGUCGAGCGAACAGACGAGGAGCUUGCUCCUCUGACGUUAGCGGUGGACGGGUGAGUAACACGUGGAUAACCUACCUAUAAGACCGGGAUAACUUCGGGAAACCGGAGCUAAUACCGGAUAACAUGUUGAACCGCAUGGUUCAACAGUGAAAGACGGUCUUGCUGUCACUUAUAGAUGGAUCCGCGCUGCAUUAGCUAAUUGGUAAGGUAACGGCUUACCAAGGCAACGAUGCGUAGCCGACCUGAGAGGGUGAUCGGCCACACUGGAACUGAGACACGGUCCAGACUCCUACGGGAGGCAGCAGUAGGGAAUCUUCCGCAAUGGGCGAAAGCCUGACGGAGCAACGCCGCGUGAGUGAAGAAGGUCCUCGGAUCGUAAAACUCUGUUAUUAGGGAAGAACAAAUGUGUAAGUAACUAUGCACGUCUUGACGGUACCUAAUCAGAAAGCCACGGCUAACUACGUGCCAGCCGCCGCGGUAAGAC